AUAUCAGUUUUCUGUAGGUCACCAAGUUCAACCACUGAGCCCAGAUAAGUUACUAAGAAGUUUAUCUCAGAUCAUAGAAGUCAGGAUGUAAUUAUCCAGAGGAUAUGUAGACUGGCAGUAUUGUCCACACUUCAUGACAGUAGACCUGCUCUGUGGAGAACCAUUUCGAGACAGAUAUGAAACCUGUCUGUUUAAUGAUGAUGAUGUUUUUCUGGAUUACAGGUAGGAUGCUGUUAUAAUGACAUUCACCAGCAUGUUUCUGUGAAAUCACGUUGUUUGAUCUCACCUGCUCUGAAACCUUGAAGGGGUUGGUUUCUUCUCUCUCAAAGGGAGGACCUUUGCUUUUGUGGAGUGACAGGACACUGUGUUUUGUAGAGUGACUGGACACUGUGUUUUGUAGAGUGACAGGACACUGUGUUUUGUAGAGUAACAGGACACUGUGUUUUGUAGAGUGACUGGACACUGUGUUUUGUAGAGUGACAGGACACUGUGUUUUGUAGAGUCACUGGACACUGUGUUUUGUAGAGUGACAGGACACUGUGUUUUGUAGAGUGACAGGACACUAUGUUUUGUAGAGUGACAGGACACUGUGUUUUAUAGAGUGACAGGACACUGUGUUUUGUAGAGUGACAGGACACUAUGUUUUGUAGAGUGACAGGACACUGUGUUUUAUAGAGUGACAGGGCACUGUGUUUUGUAGAGUCACUGGACACUGUGUUUUGUAGAGUCACUGACACUGUGUUUUGUAGAGUGACAGUUGUUAAUGCGUUCAGAGAGUCCCUUGGACUCUCUGAACGUUGGGAAGGAGAGGGAUGGAAAUCAUUUGAUCAUGAUUAACAAUUUAAAUGAUGGAUUUAUUGACUGUUGGCUGAUUGAUUGACUGGCUGGCUGGUUGACUGAUGGACUUCUCCCUUUAAGAAGUGUUCAAGAGAGUAUCCUUCCUGAUCUGCUACAGUCUGUCUCUGUUCAUGUGCAAUCCAAGAUAGCGUCACAUUUGAAGUCCUAUUCCUUGUUUGUCCUUGUGAAUAAGUCAUUGUUAAUUUGUGUUAAUAAAGGCCAAACCAGACCUAUGUCUGUAGCAUGGAAACAGCUUAUGACAACAGCUUAUGUAAAAUUGAGUAUUGAAACACAUUUCUUUGAUUUGACGGACUUUAGAGUUUGCAAAUUUCAGUAAAUGUGUAUGUGUGUUUUUUGUGUCAACCCACCGAUUAGUCUGUCUUCUCCAUCGCUUCCUGAAAUUCAUGUUUAUAUCCACUUUCUCCUCGCUGUCGUCCUCCUCAGAUCUCCUCAGAUGUUAUAAUCUGUCCUUAAUACUGUUUUCCUCUCUGAUGUUUACAGCUCUGGGCCUGUGAACUUCAUUCCCUCUCAGUAUCUCUUUGUUUCUUUCCUUCUUUUGCCUUUCCAUCUCCUUUUUCUCUCGUCCUGUACCACAAGGUACAGACAUUAAAAAUAAUCUUCAUCUCAAAGCAAAUGUACACUUCAAUUCCUAUGGCUGGGGGAAGGUGAAUAGGUCUGAAUUUGUCACUACACUUUAUGUAUUAACAUACAGUUGUGUGUCUAUUGUGUUGGGAGAGUCAGAAUGGAAAGAGACCCGUUCAUGUCUGACUGUUGGCGCUGUAUCUCUCUAAACCACCAAGAGGCAGAAGAGAGUGAACAAUGUCAAUGGGAGGGAGUCGGAUGAUGUUGACCCUACAUGCAGAAAACCAGGGGAGGGAGUAGGAUGAUGUUGACCCUACAUGCCGAAGACCAGGGGAGGGAGUCGGAUGAUGUUGACCCUACAUGCAGAAGACCAAGGGAGGGAGUAGGAUGAUGUUGACCCUACAUGCAGAAGACCAGGGGAGGGAGUAGGAUGAUGUUGACCCUACAUGCAAAAGACCAGGG
ensembl:lncRNA